rnacentral:rRNA from 1 species
UGGGAAAGACAAUGCUAAAAUGAGUAAUAAGAAAGUACAAGACUUUCUCCAAGCGUAAGUGUAAGUCAGACCGGACAAACCGCUGAUAAAAACCGGGCCCAACAAAUAAAAGGGAAAAGAAGUAAGAGAAAAUACAACAAGAAAAAUCUACUAAAAGGAACCGUUAUUCCAACACAGGAGCGCAAGUAAAGGAAAGACAAAAAGAGAAAGAAGGAACUCGGCAAAUAAAAAUCCCGCCUGUUUACCAAAAACAUCGCCUCUAGCCAACAAACAUGUAUUAGAGGUCCCGCCUGCCCAGUGACGAUUAGUUCAACGGCCGCAGUAUAAUGACUGCGCUAAGGUAGCGUAAUCACUUGCCUUUUAAAUAAAGACCAGUAUGAAUGGCAUAACGAGGAUUUAACUGUCUCCUUAACCUAGUCAAUGAAAUUAAUCUAUCCGUGCAGAAGCGGAUAUAAGUACAUAAGACGAGAAGACCCUAUGGAGCUUUAGGAUACGGGGCAAGCAUAUCAAGAAUCAUAAAAACAGAACAUAUUUAAACCUAUGUAAUAUGACCUCCUUCCUUAGGUUGGGGCGACCCUGAGGCAAAAUAUAGCCCUCAUAUGGAAAUAUAAAAGAUAAACUCUAAUUUAGUCUUUUAAACCAAGAGUGACAACUCUAAGAAAUAGAACAUCUAACCAAAAAUGACCCAGGAUAAAUAAACCUGACAACUGGACCAAGUUACCCUAGGGAUAACAGCGCAAUCUUCUCUUAGAGUCCCUAUCGACGAGAAGGGUUACGACCUCGAUGUUGGAUCAGGACAUCCUAAUGGUGCAGCCGCUAUUAAGGGUUCGUUUGUUCAACGAUUAAAGUCCUACGUGAUCUGAGUUCAGACCGGAGAAAUCCAGGUCGGUUUCUAUCUAUGAAGCAGUUCUUCCCCAGUACGAAAGGGCCGGGAAGAGAGGGCUAAUACUACAAGCAAGCCCUAUCCUUAAUCUCUGAGUUAUUAUAAAGAGG